CGGUGUUCAACUGGCGUGCCCGCGGGACGUCCUGCCGGUGAGCUCAGCCCGCGAGGGCGGCUCAACUUGAAAUCCCAUCGCGGUGCUCUUCAUUGAGUGUCGAGGUGGGCCGGCACGAUUACUUUUGAACAAAUUAGAGUGCUUAAAGCAGGCUAAAAUUUUGCCUGAAUACUGUGUAUAUGGAAUAAUGGAAUAGGACCUCGGUUCUAUUUUGUUGGUUUUCGGAACCCCGAGGUAAUGAUUAAUAGGAACGGAUGGGGGCAUUCGUAUUGCGACGUUAGAGGUGAAAUUCUUGGAUCGUCGCAAGACGGACUAAGGCGAAAGCAUUUGCCAAAAACGCUUUCAUUGAUCAAGAACGAAAGUUAGAGGUUCGAAGGCGAUCAGAUACCGCCCUAGUUCUAACCAUAAACUAUGCCAGCUAGCGAUCCGCCGACGUCCCUCUGAUGACUCGGCGGGCAGCUUCCGGGAAACCAAAGCUUUUGGGUUCCGGGGGAAGUAUGGUUGCAAAGCUGAAACUUAAAGGAAUUGACGGAAGGGCACCACCAGGAGUGGAGCCUGCGGCUUAAUUUGACUCAACACGGGAAACCUCACCAGGCCCAGACACUGGAAGGAUUGACAGAUUGAGAGCUCUUUCUUGAUUCAGUGGGUGGUGGUGCAUGGCCGUUCUUAGUCGGUGGAGCGAUUUGUCAGGUUAAUUCCGAUAACGGACGAGACUCUGACCUGAUAACUAGACGCACUUGCGGCAUCUCAAAGGUCCGCCGGCGGCUGGCUUUGCGCCCGUCGUCGCGCGCGAUUUUUACUGCCGGCGUACAAUAAAUUCUUCUUAGAGGGACAAGUGG
rnacentral:rRNA from 1 species